GAGGCCUCAGUGGUCUGAAGAGUUGCCCUUGAGAACCCAUCAAUAAGUUUCAGGAUUCUAUAUGAGAUGGAGUCUUUGUCCCUUUCCAACAAAUGGUUAAAGGCAGCUUUGAAUUGGAGAAAGCUUUGUGUCUGCUGCUUAUGGGGGAGGGAAAGUGCUAAUCAUUCUUGGAGAAGCUGGCUGAAACCAAUCCACCCCAACCCAUAGUAUGUUCUGGUGUUUCACUGAUGGAAACAAGAAAAAAAAAGCUGAAGAAAAAGAAAAGUGAAUUAUCCUAAUGCCAUUCCUGAAUUCUUGAGGUGGCGGUGGAAAUAUCCCAAGGUAAUAUGUAAGAUAUGGAUUUGUACAGUUUACUCUUUCUAAUGAUAUGAAGUUUUUGCAGUGACAAA